rnacentral:rRNA from 1 species
CCUACGGGAGGCAGCAGUGAGGAAUAUUGGUCAAUGGGCGCGAGCCUGAACCAGCCAAGUAGCGUGAAGGAUGACUGCCCUACGGGUUGUAAACUUCUUUUGUAAAGGAAUAAAGUGAGGCACGUGUGCCCUUUUGUAUGUACUUUAUGUAUAAGGAUCGGCUAACUCCGUGCCAGCAGCGGCGGUAAUACGGAGGAUCCGAGCGUUAUCCGGAUUGAUUGGGCUUAAAGGGAACGUAGAUGGUGUGUUAAGUUAGUUGUGAAAGUUUGCGGCUUAACCGUGAAAUUGCAAUUGAAACUGGCAGUCUUGAGUACAGUAGAGGGGGGCAGAAUUCGACGUGUAGCGGUGAAAUGCUUAGAGAUCACGAAGAACUCCGAAGGCGAAGGCAGCUCACUGGACUGCAACUGACACUGAGGCUCGAAAGUGUGGGUAGCAAACAGGAUUAGAUACCCGAGUAGUC